GUGGGGAAUAUUGGACAAUGGGCGAAAGCCUGAUCCAGCCAUGCCGCGUGUGUGAAGAAGGUCUUCGGAUUGUAAAGCACUUUAAGUUGGGAGGAAGGGCAGUAAGUUAAUACCUUGCUGUUUUGACGUUACCGACAGAAUAAGCACCGGCUAACUUCGUGCCAGCAGCCGCGGUAAUACGAAGGGUGCAAGCGUUAAUCGGAAUUACUGGGCGUAAAGCGCGCGUAGGUGGUUCAGUAAGUUGGAAGUGAAAUCCCCGGGCUCAACCUGGGAACGGCUUUCAAAACUGCUGAGCUAGAGUACGGUAGAGGGUGGUGGAAUUUCCUGUGUAGCGGUGAAAUGCGUAGAUAUAGGAAGGAACACCAGUGGCGAAGGCGACCACCUGGACUGAUACUGACACUGAGGUGCGAAAGCGUGGGGAGCAAACAGGAUUAGAAACCCCUGUAGUCC
rnacentral:rRNA from 1 species